rnacentral:piRNA from 1 species
UGUCAGGUCCAUGAUUAAGCUGAGAGG